rnacentral:rRNA from 1 species
CCUACGGGUGGCAGCAGUGAGGAAUAUUGGUCAAUGGACGCAAGUCUGAACCAGCCAUGCCGCGUGCAGGAUGACGGCUCUGUGUAUCGUAAACUGCUUUUGUCCGGGGAUAAUGACAGGGACGUGUCUCUGGUUGAGAGUAUCGGACGAAUAAGGAUCGGCUAACUCCGUGCCAGCAGCCGCGGUAAUACGGAGGAUCCAAGCGUUAUCCGGAUUUAUUGGGUUUAAAGGGUGCGUAGGCGGUUUGAUAAGUUAGAGGUGAAAAUUCGGGGCUCAACCCCGGCCGUGCCUCUAAUACUGUAUGACUAGAGAAGGGGUGCGGUAGGCGGAAUGGACGGUGUAGCGGUGAAAUGCGUAGAGAUCAUACAGAACUCCGAUUGCGAAGGCAGCUUACC